GUUCGGAAUUACUGGGCGUAAAGCGCACGUAGGCGGAUUUGUAAGUCAGGGGUGAAAUCCCGGGGCUCAACCUCGGAACUGCCUUUGAUACUGCAAAUCUCGAGUCCGGAAGAGGUGAGUGGAAUUCCUAGUGUAGAGGUGAAAUUCGUAGAUAUUAGGAAGAACACCAGUGGCGAAGGCGGCUCACUGGUCCGGUACUGACGCUGAGGUGCGAAAGCGUGGGGGGCAAACAGG
rnacentral:rRNA from 1 species